GAUGAACGCUGGCGGCGUGCCUAACACAUGCAAGUCGAACGAACCUAAUCUUCGGAAAGGGUUAGUGGCGCACGGGUGAGUAACACGUAGGUGACCUGCCCCGAAGUGGGGGGAUAACUUCUCGAAAGAGAAGCUAAUACCGCAUAUGCUCAGCCAUUCAGUUGGUUGAGUAAAGCUCCGGCGCUUCGGGAGGGGCCUGCGUCCGAUUAGCUAGUUGGUGGGGUAAUGGCCUACCAAGGCGAUGAUCGGUAGCUGGUCUGAGAGGACGAUCAGCCACACUGGCACUGAGACACGGUCCAGACUCCUACGGGAGGCAGCAGUGGGGAAUAUUGGACAAUGGGGGAAACCCUGAUCCAGCCAUGCCGCGUGUGUGAAGAAGGCCUUCGGGUUGUAAAGCACUUUCAGUUGGGAGGAAAAGUUUGUGGUUAAUACCCACGAGCCGUGACGUUACCAACAGAAGAAGCACCGGCUAACUCCGUG
rnacentral:rRNA from 1 species